rnacentral:rRNA from 1 species
AGCGAACGCUGGCGGCAGGCUUAACACAUGCGAGUCGAACGGGCAUCUUCGGAUGUCAGUGGCAGACGGGUGAGUAACACGUGGGAACGUACCCUUCGGUUCGGAAUAACUCAGGGAAACUUGAGCUAAUACCGGAUACGCCCUUUUGGGGAAAGGUUUACUGCCGAAGGAUCGGCCCGCGUCUGAUUAGCUUGUUGGUGGGGUAACGGCCUACCAAGGCGACGAUCAGUAGCUGGUCUGAGAGGAUGAUCAGCCACACUGGGACUGAGACACGGCCCAGACUCCUACGGGAGGCAGCAGUGGGGAAUAUUGGACAAUGGGCGCAAGCCUGAUCCAGCCAUGCCGCGUGAGUGAUGAAGGCCUUAGGGUUGUAAAGCUCUUUUGUCCGGGACGAUAAUGACGGUACCGGAAGAAUAAGCCCCGGCUAACUUCGUG